AACGUCUGACACAGGUGCUGCAUGGCUGUCGUCAGCUCGUGCGUGAGAUGUUGGUUAAGUCCGUACGAGCGCAACCCUUGUCCUUAGUUACCAGCACGUUAUGGUGGGCACUCUAAGGAGACUGCCGGUGACAAACCGGAGGAAGGUGGGGAUGACGUCAAGUCAUCAUGGCCCUUACGGCCUGGGCUACACACGUGCUACAAUGGUCGGUACAAAGGGUUGCCAAGCCGCGAGGUGGAGCUAAUCCCAUAAAACCGAUCGUAGUCCGGAUCGCAGUCUGCAACUCGACUGCGUGAAGUCGGAAUCGCUAGUAAUCGUGAAUCAGAAUGUCACGGUGAAUACGUUCCCGGGCCUU
rnacentral:rRNA from 1 species